rnacentral:lncRNA from 1 species
AUGUCGCGCGCCCUCUCUCGGUUUAAGCUCGAUAUGAUCAUCAUUCGCAUUUUAAAGGACCAUCCUUUAGUUGGCCGAGCUGGUUUCGUACCUUCGUUGGACAUCUGCUGCUGAUUUACGUUGGCCAUAGCAUGUUGGUCGGCGCAACGUGCACAAGCAAGAUUAUGGAUAGACCAUUGAGUCCAUUGAAUGUUAUAGAUUAUAAUUUUGUUUGGUUUCUUGCUUGUACGUAAAGUAGAAUUCGCUUUUGCAUGUGGAAUUAUG